ACGUGGUGGGGGAAACGUGAGCAGGCUGCAAGACAUCACUGUGUGAAGGCUAUAAUUUUUGACACAAAAAAUGGAAAACAACUUUGUGCUGAUCCAGACGCUCAGUGGGUCAAAGAUCUCACUGCCAAAAUGAGGAAGGUGUGAAGUCUGUCUGCUGCAUCAGUAUUUCCAGUAUUUCCAUCACCAUUAAAGGCUUAUUCAAACCAGAGCGCUUUCUCAGCCUGACUGUCUUAAAACUUUCUUUUUUGCAUUUGUAGAUUAAUUUUUACUCUUACCUGUGGAGUAA